GAGAGUCCUUUUUGUAAAGGAUCCGUUAGCUUUUGUGCUUACUCAGCUGUUUCCGCGUUGUAUUGCUGCAGCGUACCUAUGCGUACUUUGUUAGACGCGAAAUUUUAAACAAAAUGAACACACUGUGCAUCCACCAAGAGUCAGUAUUCAAUUUUUUUUUUUUUUGUUCACACUGUAUAAUGGUACGCUUAUAGUGAGAGAGCUGUAUAGUUGUGAAUUAUUGUAAAAUUAUUAUAUUAUGUUAAUCGAUUCGAUAUUCGAAAAAACUUUAU